GUAGCAUGUGGUUUUGAAAUCGAAACUGCCGUAGUAAUCAUUACUUUUUACAUUGUCCAAUUUUCGCUGCUCACAGAUUGCAGCUGCUCAUCUCUGCUGCUCGUAUUCAUGUUGAUAGAUCCGAUUCACAAAAAAUAAAGCUUCUUUUUUUGUUUGGAUCCUCACUAUUUUCUGAGGAUGAAAAUUUUAAAUCUUUCACCACGUCCAAAAUUUUAUAAAUGAAACUAAACGUUUCCAUACUCAGGAGAUCUGAAUCUGUUUGCAGUUCAGCUUUCAGUACUUCCUUGUGUGUUUUCUUCUAUAUACUACACGCGUAAAAAUUGAUCAGGUUGUUCGGCGUUGUUCAUUGAACAAUGCCCGAACAAUGUUGUUAUCAUGGCUGAACAACGUUGUUCAAGCGACAAUCGUUAACAACAUUGUUCCAACAACUUGUUCACGCUUGAUGAACGAACAAUGGUUGUUGCAACAUGAUGGAACAAGCGUCAACAAGGUUGAUGAAACAUGCUUGAUAAAUGUUGUCAGAACAAUGUUGUUCAGCGUUGUUCGUUCAUCAGGCGUCAACAAUAUUGUUCGAACAGGCGUUAACAACAUUGAUGAAAGAACAAGUUGUUUUUAGUUGUUCGAACAACCGUGAACAGCAUUGUUAUAAAUAGACGGUAAAAUAAUUAUUUGAAAAACACGAAAACUUGUUUUUAUUGGUUGUUGCGAAGCGCUGGGAUGCAAAACGGACGAAUGCGACGAAUAUCACGAGAGCAAGAAAUCAAACGGCUGGGCUUUUACAGCAAAAUAAAUAUCGUUUAAACUUUGUGGUUUUUUAUGAAGAUUGAGGGGAAAAUACUGAAGAAAAUAACUUGGUAAGUGUCUUGUUUUGAGGUAAGGUUAGUUGUAUAGGCUUAAAACAACGCGACCUUUUGAUUUUAGUCAUUUUCAUAGCACACGGACAAACUUAAAAGUACUCAGUUUUAUAUAGGCAUUGGAUUUUCAUAUUUUUCUCGAUGUUUUCAGUAUACAUGCAACAAGAAACCACGGUCAUACUGUAAUAAAAAGCCGUAAAUAUAAACAAAACAUUUAAUUCUCAAAAUAUUGUUCAAAUUUUUCCAAAUACACUUUAAAUUUCUGUCAGAGUCUUUUUAACUUUGAAAUUUGAAUAUGUCAAAAAAGCUAUCAUAUCAUAUGUCCUCCGCUCC